rnacentral:rRNA from 1 species
ACAGAGGUUGCAAGCGUUGUUCGGAUUUAUUGGGUGUAAAGGGUGUGUAGGCGGUUAUGUAAGUCAGAUGUGAAAACCUGGAGCUUAACUCCAGAAUUGCAUUUGAUACUGCUUAGCUAGAGUAUGUUAAAGGAAAGGGGAAUUUCCGGUGUAAUGGUGAAAUAUUCAGAUAUCGGGAGGAACACCAGUGGCGAAGGCGCCUUUCUGGGACAAUACUGACGCUGAAACACGAAAGCUAGGGGAUCAAACAG